rnacentral:tRNA from 1 species
GCCGGGGUAGCCUAGAGGUUAGGCAACGGACUGCAGAUCCGUCUUACGCCGGUUCAAAUCCGGCCCCCGGCUCCA